AUGGGUCAGAACCAACAUGGACGCGGAGCAAAAACCGUGCAGCCCAAAAUAACCUUACUCUGCACGUGGUCCAAGAGGCGCACACGGUCAUUAACGUUUCUGCUGGACAUACGGUGGAUCCGCAGAGUGGACCAGCUGGCAACAAAGACAAGAUCCAUGCUGCAAAGAUGCUGCAGUCUCAAGAGCUACUGACUGGACUGAGUGAAACACACGCCUGGCUGGAUGAACACACAUGGAGCAUGUUUCAGGAUAGUAAAUGGGGGGAGAAACCUGAGACUUGCAGGACAUGAGAAACAGAUGUUCCAUGCUUCUGUGUACAGACACCUUUUCUAGGAAAGAAGGGAAGAGGAAGGAUGAGAAAGACAGGACGAGAACAGAAAUCAUAUAUCUGGUAGAAUCCUGGAAAAAAGAUACAUGGGACUGGGGUAAAAACUUGUAUCUGCCCUGUGCAAAUACAACACAGGACCAGAAUCAGUCUGGGACAUAGUGAAGUCUAUGAGCAAGCUAAGGGGUUUUGUUCUGUAUCAUAUUUUAUUGUCAUAUAACUUGAUAAUUCACAUGCUUGACGAGCUUACUGUAUGUUUUGUGAUCUAGCUUGACUCUAAUUUUAUUCCAUCUAUCACACUACUGUAUGUCAUGUCUUAUUCAUGCAUAACAAUGUCCAUUUCAAUUUAUCAUUCUGGGUUAGCAUCGACCUCCUCGUGCUCCAGGCAGUGGUGUGGCAGAUGUGUGAAUGAAAUAAUUUUGCUAUUAUUUGAGUGAAAAUAGGCCAUUACAGCCUUUGUGAUGAAACAACAGGUCCUCUGUGAUAAUAAAAUACAUACAUCCCACUUAAACAAAGAAGACGGUUUUAGGAAUUUUGCAGUAUGUUUGCAAAAUAAAUGAGUAUCCCUCAAAAGGUUAAUCAUGAAUUAAAUUCAAUCCUAUCCUAAAAAAAAAAUCUAAUGGGGUAUCUCGGUGUGCUGGCGUUAGUGUAACAAUUAAUUAUUAUAAUUAUCAUAAUUGCCUGUGCAUGAAAGCAAGUGUAAGAAAAUCUCCCUUUUUGCAUGUUAAUACACAUUUUUCUGUCAUAACAUUCGACAAAUUACAGAUCUGUGUAGGUUUGGACUCAACUGCCAUUUUGUUUUCACUUGAGCAUUCAUUCUUGCAUUCUUU